GACGAACGCUGGCGGCGUGCUUAAUACAUGCAAGUCGAACGGAAAGGCCCUGCUUUUGUGGGGUUCUCGAGUGGCGAACGGGUGAGUAACACGUGAGUAACCUGUCCUUGACUUUGGGAUAACUUCAGGAAACUGGGGCUAAUACCGGAUAGGAUCUCCUGCUGCGUGGGGGGGGUUGGAAAGUUUCGGCGGUUGGGGAUGGACUCGCGGCUUAUCAGCUUGUUGGUGGGGUAGUGGCUUACCAAGGCUUUGACGGGUAGCCGGCCUGAGAGGGUGACCGGCCACAUUGGGACUGAGAUACGGCCCAGACUCCUACGGGAGGCAGCAGUGGGGAAUAUUGCACAAUGGGCGGAAGCCUGAUGCAGCAACGCCGCGUGCGGGAUGACGGCCUUCGGGUUGUAAACCGCUUUCGCCUGUGACGAAGCGUGAGUGACGGUAAUGGGUAAAGAAGCACCGGCUAACUACGUG
rnacentral:rRNA from 1 species